rnacentral:rRNA from 1 species
AAUAGAUACCCCGGUAGUCCACGCCGUAAACGAUGAGUGCUAAGUGUUGGGGGGUUUCCGCCCCUCAGUGCUGCAGCUAACGCAUUAAGCACUCCGCCUGGGGAGUACGGUCGCAAGACUGAAACUCAAAGGAAUUGACGGGGGCCCGCACAAGCGGUGGAGCAUGUGGUUUAAUUCGAAGCAACGCGAAGAACCUUACCAGGUCUUGACAUCCCGGUGACCACUAUGGAGACAUAGUUUCCCCUUCGGGGGCAACGGUGACAGGUGGUGCAUGGUUGUCGUCAGCUCGUGUCGUGAGAUGUUGGGUUAAGUCCCGCAACGAGCGCAACCCUUAUUCUUAGUUGCCAUCAUUCAGUUGGGCACUCUAAGGAGACUGCCGGUGAUAAACCGGAGGAAGGUGGGGAUGACGUCAAAUCAUCAUGCCCCUUAUGACCUGGGCUACACACGUGCUACAAUGGACGGUACAAACGGUUGCCAACCCGCGAGGGGGAGCUAAUCCGAUAAAAUCGUUCUCAGUUCGGAUUGUAGGCUGCAACUCGCCUAC